rnacentral:rRNA from 1 species
GAUGAACGCUGGCGGCGUGCCUAACACAUGCAAGUCGAACGAUCGCAAGAGAGUGGCGCACGGGUGAGUAACACGUAGCUAAUCUGCCCUCAAGACAAGGAUAACUGUAGGAAACUACUGCUAAUACUUGAUAAGCUUACGGACUGUAGAGGUCUAUAAGAAAGAUUUAUCGCUUGAGGAUGAGGCUGCGCGCCAUCAGCUAGUUGGUAAGGUAAUGGCUUACCAAGGCGACGACGGCUAGGGGACCUGAGAGGGUGA